GAGUGUUAAAGCAAGCAAUCGCUACGAAUACAUUAGCAUGGAAUAAUGAAUAGGACGUUCGAACCUAUUUGUUGUUCUAAGGAUCGACGUAAUGAUUGAUAGGGAUAGUUGGGGGCAUUAGUAUUCAAUUGUCAGAGGUGAAAUUCUUGGAUUUAUUGAAGACUAACUACUGCGAAAGCAUUUGCCAAGGAUGUUUUCAUUAAUCAAGAACGAAAGUUAGGGGAUCGAAGACGAUCAGAUACCGUCGUAGUCUUAACCAUAAACUAUGCCGACUAGGGAUCGGAUGAUGUUAAUUUUAUAAUGACUCAUUCGGCGCCUUACU
rnacentral:rRNA from 1 species